UACGAAGGGGGCUAGCGUUGUUCGGAAUCACUGGGCGUAAAGCGCACGUAGGCGGAUUUUUAAGUCAGGGGUGAAAUCCCGAGGCUCAACCUCGGAACUGCCUUUGAUACUGGGGAUCUGGAGUCCGGGAGAGGUGAGCGGAACUGCGAGUGUAGAGGUGAAAUUCGUAGAUAUUCGCAAGAACACCAGUGGCGAAGGCGGCUCACUGGCCCGGAACUGACGCUGAGGUGCGAAAGCGUGGGGAGCAACAGG
rnacentral:rRNA from 1 species